GAACCUUGGAUAGGCCAGCCGUAAGUUGUUUGUUUGUCUCUUUGUUAGUCUGUGUCUAACCCUUGUGAGUUAGUGUAACAGAUGUGCAUAACCCGUUACAUGUUGUGUUCAUCUUCAGGUAACUGUGAAUGUACUAAUGUGUCAGUGAAAGUGUUUUUUGUUUAAUAAUGAUAAGAACUCUCUCUCUGCCCUUUAUGGGAUAAUUGUUCUAUAACUAAUCUCUCACUGUAACUAUAUUAAUAAGGAUUUACUGUAGAAUGAUACUAGUAAGGAUUGCCUACCAUCAGAUAUAGAGUGUAGUCAUUGGUUAUGGUUACACAAAUGAAAUUAGUUCUAACACUUCUUAUGGGAUUUGUUUGCAUCUAUCUGUUUUGGAAAUUUUGGCGGGAACAAAAGAAGGGUUGACCUGUAUGUGAAUUUUAGCCACCGAAACCCACUUUUGUGAAAAUCUGUAUAUUGGGAAUAUAUAGAUUUUUGUUUUGUGUAAAAGGGGGGAGUGUGAUCGUCUCCAGCCCAGUUCCAUAUGGAGAGAAUAUGGAGAGAAUAGGAGCUCCUGAGUCAUCACUGUCACCGGGAGGCAGUGAUGAAAGAUGGCCAGUGGGUAAGUGGCUAAAUAGACAAAUGGGCUAAAUUAACAAAACAGAUUGGUAUGGUUAUCCCAUGUGAUGGUGUACACUCAAAUGGGAUACCCUAUACAAAUUCAGUCAAAGUUUAUUGGAACAGAUGGAUGCUGAAAUUCUAUUAGAAUUGGGACACACAGUAGGGAUCAAUGUAACUAAGAUUAGAAGACACGGAGUGAGGGAGAAGUAGAGGGUUAUGACCAAAUGAGAGAAAUAAAGGGAGUAGUUCUGUCAGUAGUAGUAGCUUUAAUAACCAGACUGAGGGCUAAGUGGGAUAAACUUUAACACUCAGUUGGUGAAGGGAAAUAUAGACACCCAUGGAAAGUGUAUGUAUAUGUAUGGGUAUAUAGAUAUAUUGCUAAACUGGUAUGUUUGACAGUGAUUUUGUGGAUAACAGUCAUUAUUGCUAUCAAAGUAAGUAUAGAUUCACAAAAUUAAAGGUGUCAAUGUCACUUUAAGUAAUUGUUAGAAAAGACUGUAAGCAUAUUCAAAGGGAAAGAUAACAUUACUGCAGGGAAUGAUAAGGCAGAUAAAGCUGCUGACAAACAGGCUGCUUGUAUGGUUCUAACAGGGACACCAACUGACAGCCACAUACACCAACUGACAGCCACAUACACCAACUGACAGCCACAUACACCAACUGACAGCCACAUACACCAACUGACAGCCACAUACACCAACUGACAGCCACAUACACCAACUGACAGCCACAUACACCAGUGACUUAAGUAAUUUUUAAAACGCUGCAAAAGUAAGGCUGUGGCACAAGUCCAUAUUAAAUGGACCAGUAAAUGUUAUAAGAUAUAAGAUGAUAUUUGGAAACAUGAUUAUGGUUGUUUGUGUGCACCUCCCGUUUAUCUAAUUAGUUAGUAAAACACUUUGCACCUCCCAUCUCAUGUUUCCAAAAGGGGGGGAAUUAUAUUUAUGGUAAACAAAUUAUGGUUUGCUUUUGGAUUUGUGAAAAAAUCAUAUUUUUAACACUUGUUUAAACCAUUCUAUCAGUUUCAAAGGUUACAGAUAGAUUGUAUUCACCUAUUUAAAUGUUUUUAUGUAUUUGUAUGCAUAGAUAUGUUUUGGGGUGAUUUGAGGCAUGGGCAGUAACAAAAGCCACAGAACUAAUAACAGGUAAAGCUAACUGGGUACAAACUUUAACCCUUGCAUUGUCAUCUAUGAGACACCCCUAAGGGUCCCCAACAGUUAUUUCCUUUGUGUUGCUUUUUGGUAGACCACCAAAUACUGGGUUGUUUAUUCAAAUAUUGGUAGGAAGAACAUGUUUCUCUUACUGACUAUGUUAAGCAAUUGUAUAAGCAGCUAACUAACUUGUAUGGAAAAGUGUUCUAUUCUUUAGCAGAUUGUAUUUGGAACUCACUCUCUCCAAUCAGGAGAUUUGAGCCAAACUGAAUACACAUCUGACACUGUAAGAAGGUAUUUCCCCUACGAAGUCCUGCCGAGAGCCUGAGCAAAGUGUUAUCUCCAGUGACUGAGAGCCUGAGCAGAGUGUUAUCUCCAAUGGCAGAGUCUGAGCCUGUCCCUACACUCAACCCCCCCCAACGAGAUCACAUCAACAGAAAGACAACUAAGGAGACUGAUUCAGUCCUUCCAGAAUCAAGAGGAUAAAAAGCAUCUUUAAAGUCAGACGAGAGUGGUAACAAUAAUUCCACUAGUCUGUUAACCAACGGUCCCAGUUUAAGGUUUUGACACUAAGCGUGGGCCUACUCUGGGUGAAGAGGAUCACCAUCAGGAAGAAAAGGACUUUUAUAAAAUAAUGACUCUGUGUUUGUUAUUCUGGGUAAAGGUCCUUAUCAUUGCUUUACACCAGUAAAGGGGGGUUGGCAAAUUCUAUUUGGUUCUUACACCAGCAGGCUGCAAAGCAGUUACAUACUACUGACUGCUGGAGAUGUUUAUACGUUCCAGUCAAACACAAGGGGAUACUUUUAGUAGCUAUACCUAUCUCUAUGAAUGAUUUUAAUCUUACAGAUUAUAGCUAUGAAGUUGCAAUAGACACCAACCAUAAGUAUUAAAAUGCAAUUAAAGAUUGGGGAACAUAUUUGGAAAUAACAAGGUUACUAGAUACACCCACCAUAUACGUAGGAUCCAUGUUUGCUAAUCAUACAAUCACUUAAUGUACUUACCUAAGAUUCAUGUGGGAAACACAGAUUGUGAAAUUGCUAUUCUGAAUUUCUACAUGUAUUAUAUGGGAAAGAAAUAUGAUAAGAUGCAGGGUAAUUGUAAUGAUUAUGUUGGAGUGGGAAAAAUGUAUACUUCUUAUGUCUCCAGGUGUUCCUGCCCUGACCGAGGAGAAGAUAAAGAUAAGAGUUUUAAGUCUAAGGUGACAGAUAAUAUGAGAUGGUUUCAGAUAUUGCCUGGGGUAUCGGGGUACAAUCAUUUCUAGGAUACUUAGAUAAGAACUAUAUUAUAUUUGUGAGCUUACUCAUGGCUCCCUAUGGGAGCGUAGGGAAAUUGUACCAUAGGAAGAGUUGUACCUGUUAUCAGACAACACCUGAACAUCUCAUACAUAGACAAUCAAGGUAUCCAUUCCAGGGUAAUAAAAAAAAAAAGGAAUUAUUUUCCACCUCAGAUAAAGGAUGGAUGUGGUUCCCUGCCUUGAUAGGAUGGGGAACAGAAUUAGUCAAUAGAUUAAUUAAGUAUACUAGUAUAAUGGAUGGUAUAAUAAAUGAAACUAUAAGUUCCAUCAAAAUAAUAAAUGAGAAAUUGGCCUAAGUCAGGAAGAUGGCAUUAUAGAAUAGAAUGGUCCUAGAUUACCUACUAAUAGAUGAGGGUGGGGUUUAUACAAUCACAGGUAAGGAGAGUUGUACCUGGAUUGGGGACUCACAUGACCCAAUUGAGCCCUACAGAACCCUUUCUUAUUUAUGGGAAUCAUAAGGAUUUGGUUAUCAAAUGUUUAAAAGUUUUUAUGGUACUAAAUGUGUGGGAUUGCAAUGGGCCUUGUGUUAUAUAUUAUAGCAAGGUUGUGUUGUUGCAAAUACAGUAUUUUAUCCAGAGGUUACAUGGAGGGGCAGCUGAAGGGAGGGUGCUCACCCAUUUAGCUCCUGGAUCAAAUAUACAACAGCCCCUUCUGAUCAGCAACCUUCUGUGUUUGGCCGACCUUAUCCAUAGCAGGAUCCCAUUCCUGUAUGAAUAGGGUAAGGAAGAACUUGCUGAUUUAGAUGGGAACCCUAAUAGGCAACUCUGUACUGCCACUUAACCUUUUAUAGGUGAGCGGAAUAGAGUUCUGGGUAAGAAGAAUAUAUAUGUUCAAGAUUUUGAACAACAGGGAGGAAUGUUAGAGAAAAAAGAAACCAUCUUGUUUCUUUUCUCCAUCUUGUUCAUAUCAUUUAAUAUUAGAGGGGUUGUGAAAUACAUUGUAUAAGAAUGUUUCUUUUUGCUGUUGUAAAAACAUUUUUGAUGAGUUCGCAAACUUGUGAAAAGCAUAUUGGGUGUGACAGUCAACUUAGGCCUCUUUGUCUGUUCUUAGAGAUAACAAAGCUAACUACUGAUAAGACUGUUUCAGGACUAUAAGACAAACAUGCUUUGGGUCAUUCAAUGUAGUAUCAGCUCAUAGACAAUUCUCAUUUAAGAAUGUCUGGAUACUGCCUUCGUACAUACGAAUAAAAUGUAGCUACAAUCAAA